rnacentral:rRNA from 1 species
AUAUCAGUCAUGCAUAGUAUAUCAAUAAGCGGAGGAAAAGAAACUAACAAGGAUUCCCCUUAGUAACGGCGAGUGAAGCGGGAAGAGCUCAAAUUUGAAAUCUUCAAGGGUUUCCCUUGACGAAUUGUAGUUUAUAAGAAGUGUUUUCUGUUAGUAGAGUGGCUAAAAGUUCUUUGGAAUAGGACAUCAUAGAGGGUGAGAAUCCCGUAUUUGACCAUUUACUUCCAGCUGUGUGAUACACUUUCAAAGAGUCGGAUUGUUUGGGAAUGCAGUCCAAAAUGGGUGGUAAAUUUCAUCUAAAGCUAAAUAUUGGCGAGAGACCGAUAGCGAACAAGUACCGUGAGGGAAAGAUGAAAAGAACUUUGAAAAGAGAGUUAAACAGUACGUGAAAUUGUCAAAAGGGAAGCGUUUGACACCAGUGUUGUUUUUCCGAAAAUCAAUUACGAAUGUUUUGUUUUUGAGGAGUUAUGACUUCAUCGGCUUGCUCCUUUCUUUAUGAAACUUUCUUAAUGCACUUUUCGGUUAACAAGUCAACAUCAAUUUCUUUUGUUGUAAAAGGGUAUGAGGAAGGUGGCUUUCUUUUCGGAGAAAGUGUCUAUAGCCUUGUGCCUCUGCAAUCGGAGAGAUUGAGGUCUGCAGCGUAGAUCCUUCGGGGUUAGAUACGUUUGUGCUAAGUUAUAGCUUUUCAUAGACAACUUGUUGACUAUGUUUAGUCUUGUAGCUUACUCGCUGACGCUAUUUUACCUACGCUUAGGAUGUUGAUGUGAUACUGCGAGC